AUUGAACGCUGGCGGCAUGCCUUACACAUGCAAGUCGAACGGCAGCACGGGAGCAAUCCUGGUGGCGAGUGGCGAACGGGUGAGUAAUAUAUCGGAACGUGCCCAAUCGUGGGGGAUAACGCAGCGAAAGCUGUGCUAAUACCGCAUACGAUCUAAGGAUGAAAGCGGGGGAUCGCAAGACCUCGCGCGAGUGGAGCGGCCAAUAUCAGAUUAGCUAGUUGGUGAGGUAAAGGCUCACCAAGGCGACGAUCUGUAGCUGGUCUGAGAGGACGACCAGCCACACUGGAACUGAGACACGGUCCAGACUCCUACGGGAGGCAGCAGUGGGGAAUUUUGGACAAUGGGCGCAAGCCUGAUCCAGCAAUGCCGCGUGCAGGAUGAAGGCCUUCGGGUUGUAAACUGCUUUUGUACGGAGCGAAAAGGUUCUCUCUAAUAAAGAGGGCUCAUGACGGUACCGUAAGAAUAAGCACCGGCUAACUACGUGCCAGCCGCCGCGGUAAUAC
rnacentral:rRNA from 1 species